UACGUAGGGACCAAGCGUUGUCCGGAAUCAUUGGGCGUAAAGAGCGUGUAGGCGGCUUGUUAAGUCUUGCGUGAAAUCUCGGGGCUCAACCCCGAGCGGUCGUGAGAAACUGGCAGGCUAGAGUGCGGGAGAGGAGAGUGGAAUUCCUGGUGUAGCGGUGAAAUGCGCAGAUAUCAGGAAGAACACCCGUGGCGAAGGCGGCUCUCUGGAACGCAACUGACGCUGAGGUGCGAAAAGCGUGGGGGAGCAAACAGG
rnacentral:rRNA from 1 species